GGUUUUAUAGUCUAAAUAAGAUUAUAGACUGCAAUUCUAUAGAUAUAUUUUUUGUAAUAUUAAAACCU
rnacentral:tRNA from 1 species